ACUUGCAAUCAGGAAUUUAUCCUCAAGUGGACUGACAGGGGAGAUUGCUCCUCAAAUUUUCAAUCUCACGGUGAUACAAUCUUUGGAUUUGUCGAACAAUAAACUAACUGGACCGGUGCCUAGUUUUCUAUCCCAACUUGAUUCUUUGACAGUCCUAAACUUGAGAGGAAACAAUUUCACUGGUCCAGUUCCAGAAGAACUCCUUGAAAAAUCAAAAAAUGGAUCACUAUU